AUUGAACGCUGGCGGCAUGCCUUACACAUGCAAGUCGAACGGCAGCACGGGUGCUUGCCCCUGGUGGCGAGUGGCGAACGGGUGAGUAAUACAUCGGAACAUGUCCUGUAGUGGGGGAUAGCCCGGCGAAAGCCGGAUUAAUACCGCAUACGAUCUACGGAUGAAAGCGGGGGACCUUCGGGCCUCGCGCUAUAGGGUUGGCCGAUGGCUGAUUAGCUAGUUGGUGGGGUAAAGGCCUACCAAGGCGACGAUCAGUAGCUGGUCUGAGAGGACGACCAGCACACUGGGAACGGGAACCGGCCCAGACCCCCACGGGGGGCAGGAGGGGGGAAUUUUGGAAAAGGGGGGAAAGCCUGAUCCAGCAAUGCCGGGUGUGUGAAGAAGGCCUUGGGGUUGGAAAGCACUUUUGGCCGGAAAAAAAUCCUUGGCCCUAAUACGGUCGGGGGGUGGAGGUACCGGAAGAAAAAGCCCCGGCUAACUACG
rnacentral:rRNA from 1 species